rnacentral:lncRNA from 1 species
CCAGAAUGCUGGGAUUAAAGGCGUGCGCGACCAUGCCCGGCCCUAGUAUUUAUUUUUAAGAUGUCUCUCUCAAGCUUCCCUUUCCUGGUGACUCAUGUGGAAGGCAGAUGUUAUAGUUCAGACCUAGAAUGUCCUCCAAAAGCCUGCCUGUGUAUUAAAGGCUUGGUCCCCAGUUUGGCACUAUUAGUUUUGGUAAAUUUGAAUAAAGCUGCCAUAAACAUCCAUGUGUAAGCUAGGUGGGCGGACAUAUGCUUUCAACAACUUUGUAUAAAUACCAAAGAACAUGCUUGCUGAAUCAUGUGGUAGGAACAUGGCAAUUUUUUCCUUUGUGUGUGUGUGUGUGUGUGUAUGUAAGGCAGAGAUUGAUACUGGGUUUCUUCCUCUACCCUCUAGUUUCUUUGUUUAAAGCUGGCACCCUGGUGAGGGUGCUCCAGUGCUGGGAUUACACACCUGUGCGGUUGAGCUUGGCUUAUGUAGGUACAAGAGCCAUUUCCACAGUCUACCCUCUUUCUCCUCCCCCUCCUCCUCCCCCCUCUUCUUCCUCCUCCGUUUUUUGAGAGACAGGAUCUUAUUUAACCUUGAACUCAUAAUCAGUCAAGUAGGCCCCAAAUUCCACAUCCUUCUUCUAUUUCCCAGGUACUGGGUACAGAUGCACAGCACUACAAACAGCUCUAAUUUUGUUUUGCCUUUUGAGACAGAGUCUCAUUACACACUUUACAAAGCUGGUUUUGAACUCACAGAGAUUCUCCUGCCUUUACCUCUGAUUGAAGCUGAAUGCUGGGGAUGGAGGCCUAGCCCUCUGAAUCUUGGGCCAGAUGUGGUGGUGCACAACUUUACCAGCCCUCAAGACGUGGAUCUCUGGGAGUUUGAGGCCAGCCUGGUCUACAUAGUGAGCUUCAGGCAAAUCAGGACUGCAAUGGUGAGACUCUGUCUCCUAAAUAAAUAAAUCUAUCUAAAAAUUUUUUUAAGGAAAGAAAAAGUUUCAGGCCAGCCUGAGUGUAGUAGUGAAGUGGUAAGUUCUGGCCUGGCAGUGGUGGUUCACACCUUUAGUUCCCAGCAUUUGGGAGGCAAGGAAAGUGGAUCUCUCAGCUUGAGGUCAGCCUAGUCUACAGAGUGAGUUCUAUGACAGCCAGGGAUACACAGAACCCAUCUCCAAUCCCUGCCCCCACAGAACAAAAGUUCUGUGUAUAUUUGCUGAGUAGUCCUCCAUCACUGUGUCUCACACAAGUAUUUCCUUUGACUGUGUUGGCUCAUCCUCUCCCUCUCUGACAUUGUCUUUCCCAGAGCAUACAUUUUAGUAAUUUCCAUUAAGUCCAUCCUAUCAGUGGCUUCUUUCAUUGCAUCAAGCCUUUGUUAUUCUCUCCCAUACCUGUCUGUCUGUCUGUCUGUCUGUCUAGGAUGUAGUCUGGGUCAGCAUCAAAAUUGUGGAGUGCCUUCUGCCUCAACUUCCUGAUUGCUGGGAUUGACCACUGUGCUGAUGUGUUGUCUCUAUAAGUAGUCACUAACCCACACCCUCUAAACGUUAAGAAAAUCAUGUGUGUGCACAUGCAUGCUCAUAUUAGAUGACUACUGUUAGAGUUGGUUCUUGUCUUCUACUGUGUACAUUCCAGAUAUUAAACUCAGGUUGUCAAACAUGGCAAACAUGGCCUUUAUUUACUGAGCCAUCUCACUGGCCCCUCAUUUAGCUCCCACACCCUUGUGGAGUUACAUGUUUGGUUUUACACUUUAUAUCUUAUUCUAUGAUAUAUUAAUUUUUGUGAGAUGUAUGAGUCUAAUUUUUUUAUGUGGCUGCAUAGUUUUUCUGUACCAACAUACUGUAUUGUCUUUGUUCCUUUGUCAAAGAUCAGUUUCCCUGGAAAUAGGGGCAGCAUACCUGUAGCCUCAGCUUCUUGGGAGGACAAAGGCUGACUCAGGAGUUCAAGAUUGAUCUGGGCAACAUAGUGAAACCCACCUUAAAAAAAUCUGCUUACAGUAUUUCUUGUUCUAUUUGUGGGCUGUAUUCUUGCACUGAUAUACUUGUCUAGUACAUGAAGUAUGUGCGUCUUCUGACAAUAAGAGGCUGUCUCAGUGUAAGAAGAUUUUGGUUUGCAUUUAUUUAUAUGCAUGUGUGUAGCUUGAAUGUGGAAGUCAGAGGACAACUUUCAGUUGGUUGUUGGUUGUCUCUUUCUAGGAUGUGGGUCCAGGGAUAGAACUCAGGUCGUCAUGCUUGGUGGCAAGUACCAUUACCCACUGAGCCAUCUUGGCACCCCCACCACCAUCCUGUUCUGAGUCUGAAGACCAAAGAAUUUCUGUUCUCAAAGUGUAGCCCCUUACUUCAGUGUUGGUUUGGCUAUUCUGUGUCUUUUUCCUCUCUCCAUGUAAACAUUAGGAAUCAGUCUAUCUAGAACUACAAAUAACUUACUGGGAUUUUGGGAUGGUUAUGAACCUAUAAGUUGUGUUGGAAGGACUCACAUAUCUUGGCAGCAUCAAGUCAUCCUAUCCAUAAA